rnacentral:rRNA from 1 species
AUACGGAGGAUGCGAGCGUUAUCCGGAUUUAUUGGGUUUAAAGGGUGCGUAGGCUGUGCGUUAAGUCAGGGGUGAAAUGCCGUCGCUCAACGACGGAGCUGCCCUUGAUACUGGCGUGCUGGAGUACGGAUGCCGUUGGAGGAAUGAGUGGUGUAGCGGUGAAAUGCUUAGAUAUCACUCAGAACACCGAUUGCGAAGGCAGAUGACGAAUCCGUCACUGACGCUGAGGCACGAAAGCGUGGGGAUAGAACAGGAUUAGAUACCCUGGUAUUCCACGCCGUAAACGAUGAUGACUAACCGUCGGCGAUAGACAGCCGGUGGCCAAGCGAAAGCGAUAAGUCAUCCACCUGGAGAGUACGUCGGCAACGAUGAAACUUAAAGGAAUUGACGGGG